AACAAGAGGGAAAGCAACGUGUGGAAAGGCAACAAUUAAUGAUAGACGAGAUGAUGGGGCCCACAAUGUCAAACACCUCCUUCAGUAGGAGUGAGGGUAUGUAGUCAGAUGGGCAUGUUGUUGGCUUCAGAUGACUACUUCCUGCAGAAGGGAGAGGGACACAGGUUCAAACUGAUUAAAAACAGACAGGACUAUAGGAGGAUCAAGAGGAGGCUGCUGAAUUUCUCUUGGACAUCUCCAACCUUAGCGCCAGGGAAACCGACUGUCUUUACAAACUUUCCAUUAAUGUUUCUUACAAUGGAGUUGCCAAUGACAAGUGUGACUGGGAGAGAGACUGGUGGAGGGAUCUGAGCCAGAAGCAGUGCGGUGAGAGGGGUGACCAGUGGUUGCAUCCCAUGAGCCGGAAGGUUGGUUGUGCGGCUGGGAGGAGGGCUGAGGGCUGUCAUACCUGUUGGUCAGUUCAAGCUCACCGGGUGGAGAGUAGUGAGAGAACGACUUCUUCUUCUUAGCCAGUGGUCCUCAGAAUGGGGUUGAACAGCUGGAAUGCUGGCGUCUAGCUCAGCCUCAGUGGUGGCAGUAGCAACGGCGCUGACAGUGACCAACAUGGAAUGUUUAAGCUUAGGAUUCCCAGCCAGGAUUGUCCGAGUCCAGCUCGACAACCGUGGUGGGCAGGUGUCAAACCCGGAUGGAGAGUUCACAUCAGGCAGACCAAUCAAGAGGAAGUGGUCGGAGAAAAGGCAGAGCUGCUAACCGGGGCAGAGGCAGAGGACGACCGGGACGCGGUCGUGGUAGAGGAAGAGACAGAGGCGCCUUCGGUCUGACUGUGGAGGAAGUAUUACGUGUGCAAGGCAACCGGGUUGUGAACCCCAGUUGCUGCGGUUACGCGAACGUUUUCCAGAUCCUCACAGCCGAUACGUAGACUUUCGCCCAAGUAGGCUGUAGGCCUAACUGACA